UCCCUGUGGACUUCCAAAAGCACUUCGGUU
rnacentral:piRNA from 2 species